AAUACACUAAAGGUAUUUCAAAAAGUUGUGGUGGGCCAUUAUGGAUAGUAUAAGGUCAAUUUCACUGAUUUUUUUCUUUUUUUCUUUUGCUUUGGAAGACGAAAUAUAGGAAACAAUGUGUAAGAACCUGAAUUUAAAACAGGACCUUCUCAGAGCCUCUUACAGAAAAUAUCCUGAGUAUUAUAUUAACUGUAAUUGGUAUUGUUGGACUAAUAGUCUUUCUUUGAAAAUGCUAGUGCUUCAUUAAAUUUCCCGUAAUUGUAGUGAUUGUCCAAAUUUAGUUCCCUCAUUUAACCAUGAGAAAAUGGAGUAAUGAAUGAACCCAAAGUCACAUUAUUAGUGUUGAUUGUGGAGAGUAGAACUUAGUUCUCGUGACCAGCACUUUUUCUAGUAGUUAUGGCCUCUUUCUUUUAUUUUUAUUUUUCAUUUUGUUUCCUUAUGCCUAAGUACUUUUACUUAUGGCCUCUUUAAUUGGCUCCUAUGCUGUAUAGGCAUUGGCCUGUAGCUAUAGUCAUAGCUCCUGUAUGUAUGGGCAUUGUCCUUUGAUUGGGGUGGGGACUUGGAACUGGUUUAAGGGACCUCGGGACUUUUAAUAGUCUGAAGGCAGCUGGAGUAUUACUGGGUGCAUGGGGAGUAUGAGGUGGAAGACGUAUUCUCAAAUAUUUUUGCUUGAAUUUCAAAGUUAAAGCUUUUCUGCUUUGUAUUUUCCUAAGGCAGUCAAACCAUGUGUUACAGUUACUUGAGCUAAGAUGUCACGAUUAAUUUUAAAAGUUUAAAUUCCAGCUUCUCCCAGGUUAGUCUGUUCUCUCAGUUUAGAGAGGACAAGUCAUACAUGAAAUAGUGUAUUUGUGAACUGUAAAGUAUGUAGCGUAAAGGUGCAAUACUUCAGCUUCUUCAGUUGAAUUCAGCAUAGCAACACGGAGGACCUCCUGUAGGGAGAAAGGUAAAAGAGAGAAAUAGCUAAGUUCUUAUCCUCUGCUUUUCUUCUCUUCCGAGUUCAAGGUUAUGGCGCGUGGAGUCUGAAGUGCUGUAAUAUCGGAUCCCUAUUUGCAUUUUACCUGAUAAAUUUAUGUGGUGUUCAAAGUAAAAAGAAAACACGAUUCUUCUAAAUUCCUGUUUAUUAGAUGACAGCACAAAUGCUUUAGACUUAAACUUGGAAUACAAAACAUCUGAAUCUUUACAGUGAUAUAAAUUCCUAUGAUAUUAUAAAACAGUUUCCUUAAAAAUGACAUGACAUUACUUUUAUGAUACAUUUGGCAUAUUUUUAUACACAGGCAAGUAAAAAGUUGAAAUAGAAUGGUGCUUGAUUUAUGAUUUUAAAACAUUAAAGGAUAAUGUUUCUAAACUAAACUUACUUGGAAAUGGCAUUAUUGUUUGGGUAUAAAACUCAAAAGGAUAUUGAAAAGCAACUAGGAUUUAUAAGAAAUAUUUGUAGAGUAGUAAUUACCAAAUAAAUAAAGCUUAUUGUUUUCUUACAUCCCAGUAAUAGUUAGAAAAUAAAUUACAUUCGUAAUAGCAAAACAAUGUAUAUCACCUAAGAGCUAAACUCAUGAGAAAUGUGCAGAACCUCUGUGAAAAAAAUUUAUAUUGUUUAGAAGAACAUAAAAUGAAACUUGUCUAAAUGGAGAACUAUGUCAUGUUGCCAGCUAAGAAGACUCAAUAUUGUCAAUAUGUUAUUUCUUCCUAAAUAAACUCAGUACAAAAAAAGAUAAUUUUUCUAAUAUUUUUCAAACUAUGGAAGUAACACCAUCAUUAUCAAGAAGAAUUCAUCUAGUGUCUGUACGUUUUUCUGAGUAAAACGAGCUUUUUCAUAAGUCAAAAUAUAGAGCCUGGCAUGGUGGCCCACACCUCAGGAGGCUGAGAUGGAGUUUGAGACUGCAAUGAGCUGUGAUUGUUCCACUGCACUCUGUCUUGGGUGACAGACUAAGAUCCUGUGUCUAAAUAACAAUAAUAAUAAUAAUCAUAAAAAUAAUAAAUUUUUAAAAAUGUAACCCAUUCCCCCCUCCCAUCUGCCUCUAAUAAUUGUCUCUCUUUCCAACUUUAGAUAGAGGCUGAGCCCCUGGCCAUCUUUUCUCUCCCAUUCUUUUUUCCAUCAGUUAUUUGAUUUUUCUCUUAUUUUUACUUGUUCCUUAAUAUUUUUUUAUACCUGUUGAGGUAUACCAGUUUAUACCUUAACAGUUUAUAUCCUGUUCAGCCUGUAAGCCUGUUUAAUUUCAAAAGACAAAACACAAAUAAAACUUUUGUGAUCUUUCCUACUCUUUCCUUCCUUCAUUAAUUGACUUUUCUGAAAAAUAGAUUUUGGUAAUGGUUCUCAAAGUGUGGUAUGUGGACCCCAAGGGAAAGGGUCCUCAAGACCCUUUGAUAGGGGGUCUAUCAGGUAAAAAAUGUUUUCAUAAUAAUACUAAGACGUAUUUGCCAUUUACACUGUAUUGGCAUUCACACUGCAAGCACCUUAACACUAAUCAAGGGUAGUGAAAAGCAUUUCAUUACUCUUGGCCCUUGAGUACAUUUCUUUUCUUUUUUUUUCUUUUUUGCAAAAUAUGCAUAAGAUUCACCAUAAUAAUCAUUUUUAAGUGUACAGUUUAGUGGCAUCAAGUACAUUCAAAUUGUUGUGCAUUCAUCAUCACUAUUUCCAGAAAAUUUUCAUCAUUUUAAACAAACUUCGUACCCAUCAAACACCAACUUUCCACUUCCCCUAUUCCUUUAGACCCUGAUAACCAUGAUUUACUUUCCAUUUCUAUGAAUUUGACUAUUCUAGGUAUCUUAUAGAAGUGGAAUCAUAACAAUAUUUAGCAUUUUGUGUCUGGCUUAUUUUACUUAAAAAUGCCUUUAAGGUAUUCAUCCUUGUUGUAGCCUACAUCAGAAUUUCAUUCCUUUUUAAGACUGAAUAAUACUCAAUUGUAUGUAUAUAUCACAUUUUGUCUGUCUGUGGGCAUUUGGAUUGUUUCUACCUUUUGGCUGUUGUGAAUAAUGCUGCUGUACAUAUGGUGUACAAAUAUGUAUAUGUUUGAGUCCCUGCUUUCAUGCCUUUUUGGUAUAUAUCCGGAAGGGAAUUAUUGGAUCAUAUGAUAAUUCUAUGUUUAAUGUUUUUGAGGAAUUGCCGCACUGUUGUUCACAGUUCCUGUACCAUUUUACAUUCCCAACAGCAUUGCACAUGGGCUCCAGUUUCUCUACAUCCUUGUCUCACCAACACUUGGCAAUUUUUUUAAUAGCCAUCGUAAUGAAGUGUUAUCUAUCUCAUGAGAAAUGUGCAGAACCUCUGUGAAGAAAAUCACAAUAUUGUUAUAGAACAUAAAAGAUGUACGUUUUCCUAAUGAUUAGUGAUUUUGAGCAUCUUUUCAUGUGUUUAUUGGCCAUUUUUAAGUAUAUGUCUUUUUAAUAUGUGAAAAAAUGGGAAAUACAAAGCACUUUUGCUGCAUAAGGAAGCAGUAUCGUGUAAUUGAGGAAGAGCACUUGGGUGAUGGAGUUGUUUGCUGAAGUAGUUUGAUUUCAUAGAAUAUCGUCUUUACUGGAAACAGUGACAAACUAUGAUUAUUCAUUUAGACUUGGAUAUUUGGCAGACAUUUUCUUAAAAGAUGAUCCUGUCACUUCGAGGAAAACAAAUUACACAUCUUAUUAAUGUAGGAAUUUGAACUUUCAAAGAAAAUCAGAAUUUUAGAAAACUUGUCUUAGCCAUUGUGAGCUUACAGUUCCCUAUUACUUUAAAAGCCUUUCUGAGGAGACAGGUGAUAAUAUGAACAAAUGUGAUUUUUUUUUUUUAAAUUCUGUAAUGGAAUAUCUGUAUAACCUAUAUUUUCCAAGCACAUGAUCUUACACAAAGUACAAGAUUGACCACUGGAUUUUAAUUGUAACUGCAAAAAAUUCAGUGAUGUGGUUUUAGAUUCCAUAUUACAACUAACCUUUAAGAAAGUACUAAUUAUCAUGUUUUGCUACAAUAGCAAAGAAGAAUAGGCUAUUCAUAGUUAUCUGAAAAGACUAUAAAAUAGUCUUCACCUUUUCCUCUACUUACCUGUGUGAGGCUAAAUUAUCUUUAUGUACUUCAUUCAACCAAAACAACAUAUCAUAUAGAUUUACUGUCAAAGUAGGUGUGAGAAUCCAACAGUCUUCUAUUAAGCCAAAUGUUAGAGUUUUGCAAACAUGUUAAACAUUGCCACUCUAGUCUCCAAGUUUUUCUUUUGAAAAAUAUGGCUAUUUUUUAUUAAAUUGUUAUGUAGGCCGGGUGCGGUGGCUCAAGCCUGUAAUCCCAGCACUUUGGGAGGUCGAGGCGGGCGGAUCACGAGGUCAGGAGAUCGAGACCAUCCUGGCUAACACGGUGAAACCUUGUCUCUACUAAAAAUACAAAAAUUAGCCGGGCAUAGUGGCGGGCGCCUGUAGUCCUAGCUACUCGGGAGGCUGAGGCAGGAGAAUGGCGUGAACCCGGGAGGUGGAGCUUGCAGUGAGCUGAGAUUGCGCCACUGCACUCCAGCCUGGGUGACAGAGUGAGACUCCGUCUCAAAAAAAAAAAAAAAAUUAAAAAAAAAGUUAUGCACCGAGUUUAUAAUUUUAAAUGAAUUAAUAAAGGUUUAAAAAUUUUCAGAUUUAAUUUCUAAUAUAAUAUGGAUUUAUAUAACCCAUGUAAGCAGAAGCACUCGGUGGUUGUUGAUAGUUUUUAGGAAUGUAAAGGGAUCCUGAGGCCAAAAGACUUUGAGAAUCUCUGGGUCUACAAUGUAUAGUGUAAUAAAACAGUCCGAUAUAGUAGCUAGUAGCCACAUGUGGCUAUAGAGUACUUAAAAUGUUGCUACACUGAAUUGAGAUAUGCAGUGUGAAUAAAAUGCACUUGGAUAUAAAAGCCUUAAUAUGAAAAAAGAACAUAGAAGACCUUAUUAAUAUUUUUAUACUAUUGAUUAUAUGUUGAAAUAAUAUUUUGGAUAUAUUGGGUCAAAAAUGUAUUAUUAAAACUAAUUUUACAGUUUUUUUUUUACCUUGUUAAUGUAGUUACUAGAACAUUUAAAAUUUUAUAUGUGGCUCACAUUAUAUUGGACAUACUGGACAGUGCUGAUCUAUAGUAUACAGUUUACAGUGUAUAGUGUGCACUUUGCAGUUGGGGUUAUUCGCCUGGGGUUCAUAAACAUCCAUGUGCAUUUUUCUUGGGAGAGGGCUUAUGGCUUUCAUCAUAUUCCCAAAAGGCCGUGUGACCAAAGAAAAGUGAGAAACUGCUGUAAAAUUUGUAGACUCCUCCCCUGACCUCUGCUUGUAGUUACUUGGGUACUGCUUGUAUCUUGGAUCUGGGGGGGAAUCCCUUUCUGACAAUUUGGUAGGCUGAGUGAAAUCUGUGUUGCUGGGGUGCAAUGAUAUGCAUUCUUGACCUCUCAAGUUGGAACCUGGAAUGAAUGUUUCCAUAGAAAAGUUUUAACAGACCGUCAUUAGGUAUUACAGUACUGUUAGUAUUAAACUGUAAACGGACCCGAGAACCUCAGAAUCACAUAUAAGACUGUUUCUGUGGGAAAAUAUUCUGAAUACCAAAAGUAGACUUAGAAACUGUCAGAAUACAAUCUACUAGUACAUUGGAGAUUCAUACACUUCAUGCUGGGAACCUGAUCGAAAUAGAUAAUUUUUUUAAACUUGAGCAUUAAUAGUGUUUGAAAAGAUUAAGCAUGUGUUAAAGUGGUAAUCAUUCUAUUUUUUUUUCUUUAUUUUUGAGAUGUCCUUGCUCUGUCAUGGUAGUAGCAUGAUCUUGGCUCACUGCAGCUUUGACCUCCCGGGCUCAAGCGAUCUUCCCACCUCUGCUUCCUGAGUGGCUGGGACCACAGGCAUGUGCCACUGCACCUGGCUAAUUUUUAAAAUUUUUAUAAAGACGAGGUCUCACUGUGUUUUCCAGGUUGGUCUUGAACCCCUGGGCUCAAGUGAUUCUCCCACCUGGGCCUCCCAAAGUGCUGAGAUUACAGGUGUGAGCCACCAUGCCAGCCGUCAUAAAGUUAUGGGAUGUUUGAUUACUAUUUAUCUCUAAUCAUAAGAGGGAUUAUAUGAAUAAGCCACUGCAUUGGAGGGUAUGUAAAUUAAGUGUUUGCCUGUUUAGUUUGAAUAGGUUGGUGAUGCUGUGUAUGCAGUAGAUUCUUGGCUUAUGUAAUCAGUUCUCAUCAAAAAAGACUUCCUAAAACAAUGAAAUUUCAGGGCUUGUUGAAGUGAAGAGAGAAUGCUUGAUUGAAGACUACAAACUCACACAUACGGUGUCCCAUUUAAAACGUAUUCCAGAGACUUUCACAGACACUUAUUAAAAUUUAUUGACAAAAUGAACAUGAGAAGAGCUCUCUAAUUAUCUAACUGUUGUGAGAUAAUUGCAGUUUAGGUGAGAUGACCGAGUAUGGUCAUUGGGUGAAGGGAACAUUGAAGGCGAUCUGAGAAAGCAGAUGAUGGGUUAAAGAGUUGCAGAUGCUAGAAGAAAACCUAGGCAUUACCAUUCAGGACAUAGGCAUGGGCAAGGACUUCAUGUCUAAAACACCAAAAGCAAUGGCAACAAAAGACAAAAUUGACAAAUGGGAUCUAAUUAAACUAAAGAGCUUCUGCACAGCAAAAGAAACUACCAUCAGAGUGAACAGACAACCUACAAAAUGGGAGAAAAUUUUCGCAACCUACUCAUCUGACAAAGGGCUAAUAUCCAGAAUCUACAAUGAACUCUAACAAAUUUCCAAGAAAAAAACAAACAACCCCAUCAAAAAGUGGGCAAAGGACAUGAACAGACACUUCUCAAAAGAAGACAUUUAUGCAGCCAAAAAACACAUGAAAAAAUACUCAUCAUCUCACUGGCCAUCAGAGAAAUGCAAAUCAAAACCACAAUGAGAUACCAUCUCACACCAGUUAGAAUGGCAAUCAUUAAAAAGUCAGGAAACAACAGGUGCUGGAGAGGAUGUGGAGAAAUAGGAACACUUUGACACUGUUGGUGGGACUGUAAACUAGUUCAACCAUUGUGGAAGUCAGUGUGGCGAUUCCUCAGGGAUCUAGAACUGGAAAUACCAUUUGACCCAGCCAUCCCAUUACUGGGUAUAUACCCAAAGGACUAUAAAUCAUGCUGCUAUAAAGACACAUGCACACGUAUGUUUAUCGCAGCAGCAUUCACAAUAGCAAAGACUUGGAACCAAGCCAAAUGUCCAACAAUGAUAGACUGGAUUAAGAAAAUGUGGCACAUAUACACCAUGGAAUACUAUGCAGCCAUAAAAAAUGAUGAGGUCCUUUGUAGGGACAUGGAUGAAAUUGGAAAUCAUCAUUCUCAGUAAACUAUUGCAAGAACAGAAAACCAAACACCGCAUAUUCUCACUCAUAGGUGGGAAUUAAACAAUGAGAACACAUGGACACAGGAAGGGGAACAUCACACUCUGGGGACUGUUGGGGGGUGGGGGGAGGGGGGAGGGAUAGCAUUGGGAGAUAUACCUAAUGCUAGAUGACGAGUUAGUGGGUGCAGCGCACCAGCAUGGCACAUGUAUACAUAUGUAACUAACCUGCACAAUGUGCACAUGUACCCUAAAACUUAAAGUAUAAUAAUAAAAAAGAGUUGCAGAUGCUCUUUAGGAAAUCUGGUGGAAGAGGUGAGGUAUUUUUGUACUUAAUAGUUAUAAGGCCACUUAAAGGAGUCCCAAAGAGAGGUUGGCAUAAUGCUGAAUUUGAACAGCAAUAUAUAAGAGUUCACUAAAAUUUAAUGCUUUUUUGGGGCCUGAUAUUCUGGUGAGAAGGAAGUUGUGUAACGGAUGAUUGUGGUCUAUAUCCAGGCUUUGUAUUUAUGAAUGGAGGAGUUUUGAUAUGUAAAAAUGGAGAAAGAGUAAUAUUAGAGAACUAAAUCUGUAGUCUUUUUCAGUUCUGCUAAAAAAAGUUAUUACUUCUAAAAUGUGACCGUGAUGUAGGAAAAAGUGGAUAUAAAGUAGGGGAAAGGAUGUUGUGACUGGGAAUAAAGAAAAGUCAAAAAGUAGUGGCUUCAUUUUAGCCUUCAUUUCAGCUUUAUGCAUGGGAGUUGUGAUGAGGGGCCCUAGAGACUAGUGAUAUAGCAGGAAGUUCAAGAGUACUAUGAAUACCUCUGGCCUGUUUUAAAUGUAUUAAUUUUUUAAAACAUUGUAAUUUUGGGGAGUCUUAGUCCUUAAUACAGUGCUUCUUAAACUCUAAUAAGUAUAUGAAUCACCUGGGAUUUUUUAAACUGCUUACAUUUAGUACAUCUGGGUAGGGCCGGAGUUUCUGUGGUAUCUGCAAGCUCUCAGGUGAUGCCAGUUCUGUUGUUUCCACAGAUCGCAUUCUUCCUUAGCCAGUCUCCUAAAAGAAAGGAAAAAAACUUACCCCAAAAGUGAUCAAAUCAGUCCAUUAUGAAUAUCUGCUUUGUUAAUGGCCUUCAGAUGGAUUAUUAGUAGCUAAGAGGAAUAAUGCAAAGAUUCUUAAAUUUCAUCUAGGGUCCUUUAUUGAACAGAUUCCUUGACUUGAAUCCCAGAGAUUCAAUUCCAGGUUUAGGAAAAGGUCCAGAAAACUUCAGGUUUAAUAAAUACUCUAGGUAAUUCGGUAGUAUUGGGAUUUUGGUUGGCAUUGUAUGAAAACUAGAUAUUAAUUUGGAGGGAUUGGCAUAUUGAAAGUAUUAAGUAGUGCUUUCCAGAAAUAUAGUGUGUCUUAUCAUUUUUAUUAAGUUUUAAAAGUUUCUCUCAGUAAAGUUAUUCUUCAUUUAGGUCUUGCAGCUUUAUAAGCUUGUCACAUAUGUUUUAUGUUUUUUUUGUAAAUGGGUUGACCUUUCAGCAAUGUGAGAAAGUUUUCUGUUGAUUAUCUUGAAGAUAAUUUGUCUUUGAUUAGGAAUGUGUUCUUUUUUAUUUUAGAGAUAGGGUCUUACUCUGUUGCCUAGGCUGGAGUGCAUUGGCAUGAUCAUAGAGCUCUCUGCAGCCUCAAACUCCUGGGCUCAAUUGAGGGAUACUUCCUCCUCAUUUGGGACCACAGGUGUGUGCCACCACGCCUGACUAAUUUUAAAAAUUUUUGUAGCAAUGGGGGGUCUCACUUCGUUGCCCAGACACGCUUCAAACUCCUGGCUUCAAGCAGUCCUCCUCCCUUGGCCUCCCAAAGUGUUGGUAUUACAGGCAUGAGCCACUGCAUUUGGCGGGAAUGCAUUAUAAUAAGCUUAUCACUUAGGCCUAAGAAUCAAAAAGACAGAUCCUACCUAGGAAAGUCUUGGAGUUUGGUAUGUUUUUAAUGAACUAGUUUCCUCAAGUGCCAGUAAGUCAGGUCCAUAGAGAAAGCCAUACUCAAGUCAUAAAGGUGAGUGUUGCAAGAAAUUAUAUAAGAUUUUGGUUGAAAGAAGCGAGAAAUGGAGAUACCUGCUGGAUGCCUGUGAGAAACCUAAGUGUUUCAGAGGUGGGUCGAAGGGGACAGCCUGAUUAGGAAAAGUUAUAGAAAUACAUAUGUAGUCUCAUCAAGGGAGAACAUAACUGGUUUUCUUUUCUUAGCUUCCUUUCUGUAGCAUAAAAACAAAUUAUUUUACUCUGAAAACAAUUUGUUCUUAGAAAAACUAUGAUCAUGUGUUCUCAAAGGAAUGACUGUUAACGGUAGUCUUCCAGCAUAUCACUUUAGGAUGGGCAGUAUUCUUUAGGGAAACUCCAACGGAUACUUGGAAUUCUGACUUGAGAAUUUCACUGUAAUCAUCAUUAACCCAAAAGUACACAUAACUACUGUCCUUUUAAGUGAAAUAUAUUUUAAUAUAAACCUAAAUGUUUAUAAAGAUUUACAAUAUCACUGCCUUCUUCCUUUUGCUGUUGAGAAGUUGAUAGUUACUCCAGUUGCUUUCGUGGGUGAUUUCACAUUGAGGCUAAGUGCUGAAUGAGAGAAUACAAGCUGAGAGAAUUAAAAUCUGGGUAUCAGUGCUUUUAAGACAAACCUUGUUCUUUUUAUGGCACUUACUUUGUCUGAAAUUUUAAAUGUCUUUCUAGACCGUGCUGACACACAUGGAAAUAUCCAUAAUAACAUUAUCAAAUUAUUUUAUUUUGAGAUUUUAUUAGAAACUUCUAAUUGUCUAGAGAACUUUCUACUCCACAGACAAAUUAAUAUGCUCAACAUUUCUGAAAAGACAGGGCAACAGUGCCGUUCUAAUUUUUACAAGAAGGAAUCUGAGGCCAGGUUCCCUUAGAAGCCAAUUUACAUUGACAGUUUAAAGAAGUGGACAUACAAACAUAUAUAGGACCAGAAUUAGGAAAAAGUUCUGUUUGCUACAUAUUUCAAUAAAGAUAUUAAAAAAUAA